rnacentral:rRNA from 1 species
UAGGGAAUCUUCCACAAUGGCGAAAGCCUGAUGGAGCAACGCCGCGUGUGUGAUGAAGGGUUUCGGCUCGUAAAACACUGUUGUAAGAGAAGAAUGACAUUGAGAGUAACUGUUCAAUGUGUGACGGUAUCUUACCAGAAAGGAACGGCUAAAUACGUGCCAC